ACCAUUCCGGCUCUAGGUGCUCAUUCACCACACUGUUCUGGGUGCUAUAACACCCAUUCUGGCUUUACUCCAGCAAUUUGCUGAGGGUCUGCCUGAGGUAGCAACGGAAGAGAUGGAAAAGAGAGGUCGAACUGAAAGCCCACUGGUGAGACUUGGCAAUUGAUUCAAUGAGAGAAGGUGGACUGCAGACCAAUGGCCCGCUUUCUGGCUUAGGUGGCAGAGUGGCUGAUGAUGCCACAUUUGAAGGUACAAUCCUUGGAUUUACCCUCCGACCAUACAGAAUGAGCUACCGGGAAGUCAAGUACUUCUCCUUUCCUGGGGAACUUCUGAUGAGGAUGUUACAGAUGCUGGUCUUACCACUUAUCAUCUCCAGUCUUGUCACAGGAAUGGCGGCGCUAGAUAGUAAGGCAUCGGGGAAGAUGGGAAUGCGAGCUGUAGUCUAUUAUAUGACUACCACCAUCAUUGCUGUGGUGAUUGGCAUAAUCAUUGUCAUCAUCAUCCAUCCUGGGAAGGGCACAAAGGAAAACAUGCACAGAGAAG
rnacentral:sRNA from 1 species